UUUGGUGGCGAUAGCGAAGAGGUCACACCCGUUCCCAUACCGAACACGGAAGUUAAGCUCUUCAGCGCCGAUGGUAGUCGGGGGUUUCCCCCUGGG
rnacentral:rRNA from 1 species